UUAAUUGAAACCAAAAAUAGGUAUAUUAUUGUUAAUAAUAUUUUUGGAAAUUAUUUUCCCA
rnacentral:tRNA from 1 species